rnacentral:tRNA from 1 species
UUUCCUGUGGUGCAAUGGCAGCACGCCUGAUUUUGGUUCAGCAGAUCGUGGUUCGAGUCCAUGCAGGAAAAC